CUUGGCAGUGAGAGGAGAGAGAACAAAGCUAAAGGUGCUGAAGUAAGGUGACAGCGCUUUUGUCGAUUAGGGUGGAAUAAACUUAUCAUGCGAGAAGUUGGCAUAGAUACUUGUCUCACCUUAAAGGUGCUUUAGAAAUAAAGUGGGACCAGGCAAGGCAGAUAGGUGGCAUAGGAGUUAAGCUCAAGCAGAGAUAAUGAACAAAAAUACCAGAGGAAUUAGGAUUAAAAGCAAUAAAGUCUUGAAUAUUGGUGAGAAAGGAUGAAGAAGAGAGGUGUAUAAGGAGGAGUUCUCACUCCAAACAACAGUGGCAUGCGAAACCCAAGAGAUCAGACCUUGAAAGCUAUGCACUAAUAGGUUAUUUAGUUUUCAAAAUCUUAAAUUAAUAACAGUUGGCAAUAAAGCUCAUUAAAAGUCCUUUUGUUCAGGAUCCAUUGUGUCGAUGUUCAAGCCCUGUUCUUCUAAAAUGAUUGAAGCUGAGAUCUCCACCUAGUGGAUUUAUAGGAUUUUGCAGAUCUUUAUGGGAACAGCCAACUAUCCCUGGAAAUCCUUAAUUUUUUUCUCUUAGAGAAAUAACAAGUUUUAAAGACUUCUACUUAAAUCUAGGAUAAUUGUCAACAGGACAAUUGCAAAUGUAUGAAACAUACCAAUAUGCAUAUCAGUUAGACUACAGUUAACAAAGCUGAAUUUUUAUUUUCAUACUAUAAUUAGGAAAACAGAUCAAACACAAAUAUGAAUAUAUAAUUAUCCAUGUAGAAAGCAAUAUUGUAAUACCACUAAUUGAGAUGUGUAUAAUAAUUUACAUAAAAUAAACAUCAAAUGUAAAUCUGCUCAAA
rnacentral:lncRNA from 1 species